rnacentral:rRNA from 1 species
GCGAACGCUGGCGGCAGGCCUAACACCUGCAAGUCGAACGAACCUUUCGGGGUUAGUGGCGGACGGGUGAGUAACACGUGGGAACGUGCCUUUAGGUUCGGAAUAACUCAGGGAAACUUGUGCUAAUACCGAAUGUGCCCUUCGGGGGAAAGAUUUAUCGCCUUUAGAGCGGCCCGCGUCUGAUUAGCUAGUUGGUUGAGGUAAUGGCUCACCAAGGCGACGAUCAGUAGCUGGUCUGAGAGGAUGAUCAGCCACAUUGGGACUGAGACACGGCCCAAACUCCUACGGGAAGCAGCAGUGGGGAAUCUUGCGCAAUGGGCGAAAGCCUGACGCAGCCAUGCCGCGUGAAUGAUGAAGGUCUUAGGAUUGUAAAAUUCUUUCACCGGGGACGAUAAUGACGGUACCCGGAGAAGAAGCCCCGGCUAACUUCGUG